GAGAAGGAUGCCGACAAACCCGGCAUUCCUCCCCACUUCUCCUCACACAAUCCCUAUCCUAGUCUACAUCUUUUCCCCACCAAGGUGCCCUACACAUGCUAUCUCUAGUGCAAUUUGUUUUUUCUAUAUAUAUUAUUACUCCAGAAUUGAUUGCUUACUUUUCCUUGUCAAAUUAGGAAGUCUAUGAUAUCGAUGAUGCUGUGUUCAAUUUGUUUUCUGUGCACUGCUGGAAUGAAAUGGAAGGAAUUCAAAUCCACCGUAAAGCAGCAGUUUUUUAUGAGAAAAUUUUAGAAUUGAGAGCAAAACACAGUGAUAGAGUCAACGAUGAUGAUUGGAAGUUCCUCUCAAACUAUUGGAGGUCACCUGAAUCUGAAGCUCGCACGGAAAUCUCGAAGUCUAUUCGUUCAAAGUUAGGGACACACCAUAUAGCAGGCAGUAAGAGCUUUGCUCGUUCAGUCCAUGAAUUGGCUGGUGUUCUAGGGCGCCCUCCAUGAAGAGAUGAACUAUAUAUAAAGACCCAUACAAGGAAAAAUGGAGUGCCAUCAACAAACACAGAACCAAUUAUUAAUAAGCUUAAAUCCAUUGUUGAAGCUCGUCCAGAAUUGAAGCAGAAAACAAUUCAACAAGAUGAUGCAUAUGCUGCUGCUUGUGGAGAAAAGGAGCCAAGAGGACGUGUUCGUGUUUUGGGCCUCGGACCAACUCCCCAAGAUGUUGGUACCCCGGGGUUGAAGUCUUAGAAACCCACAAGGCUUCAAAUGGAAGUUCUAGCCUAUAAAAAGGCUGAACGUGAGAAUGCAGCGCUACAACAACGCAUUGCAGAAAUGGAGGAAGAUAUGGAAAUAAUGUUACAACAUGGUUCUAAUUCAAGGCAUCAUGUGAGCCCAAGGUCUAAAGAACAUGUCGAUGAGGCAUGUCAUAAUGCUCAAAAUCAAGAUGGAGCUUCUAAUCACUCUGGUGAGGAUGAUUACUUGACUGUGAGAAGGCGUGUUGUGGCCCCAACAACAGCCCAUCAUGAUUAAAUGAGCUUUGGAGGUGCAACCCCAAUAGUGCAGCCGCGUCGGCACAUCCCUGUAGCCCCAUCUUCACAUGAUGA